rnacentral:lncRNA from 1 species
CAAGAUACACCAAUGUGCCUUGAAACUCGUCUCUGGCAUUGGCCUGUAUUGCCAAGAGGCUGAUCUUACUGACAGUGAAUACUUUCUUUCAAUACACAACACACACAUGGGAUGCAGAGUUUCUUUGGUUCCUGCAGAUGCUCAGGAAAUGCUGUAUCAACCACAAGGUGAGAUCCACAACACUCUGUGGUCAGCUCAUCAUUACAGAAACACAGCUGCUGACACCUACCAAAAUGGAACUGAUUGCGUGGAAGAAAUCGGUGGAAGACAAAGCUCCAGGAGCUCCAAGCAUGGGAAAGGCUGCAGGUCCAAGGCAGGAUAAUGAGACAAUGAAAUGGAGUGCAAAACCCCAGCACCAGGCUCCAAGGACCUCACGGGCCC